CUCAGCACAUGGCUGGCACUCAGAGCGUGCAAGCCCUGCUCCAGCUGGGUGUCCGCGUGGCGUCUCACCUGGUUCCUGCAGAACUGGGGCAGGGGGUCCGCUGGGGAAAGAGACAAGGGCAACUUGAGAGAGAAAAUGAAGGGAUCAUACUCAGCAGCCCCUUUCAUCAGAGCAAGCUGCUUUCUCCCUCGUGCACUCCAGGGCUGCUGCUGGGUAAUUAGUGUCUCCGAGCCAAGGCCAGCACACAGUGAGAGCCUUUGUUUCAGGCCUGUAAGUUUCAAUGCAGGAUGGAAGAAGCAAACCCCAGUUCAUCUGAGAGACACUCGCAUCUGAUUCUGUGGACUGGCUGAGGAAGAGCCUGCCUGGUGGCUGAGGAGAGGAUGGUGAGCAGGGUGGCCAGGCAGUGUGAGGGCCCAGAGGACCCUGAGAUCCAGAAGGACGGUGUUUGCCUCCAGGAGGCAGGCGCUGGCCAGUUCAGCAUGGCUGAGUGGUGACAAGCCCUUGUUCCUGCUGAUGUGAUCUUUCCAGAGAAAUGCCUAAGAAGCCUGUCCUAGAAGAGACCCUAGAAGAGAAGCACUUUCUAGGUUCUCCUCAACCCCUGGCUGUCUAAUGUCUUUCAAUUUGAAUGCUGUGAGAAUUACUGAAUGAAAUUCUGCAAACACUGAAAAUUUGUUGUAUUAAUGGUGGCAGGUGCAGAGCUGAUUAUUGAUAGACAUGAAAACAUAAGAGGAAUUCAUUUUCUUUGGGAUUAAGGAAAUCUCUUCUUUUUUGUUGGCAACACGAGGUUUUAGCAGAUCUCUGAUCUUGUGCUGAAAAGAAUACAGCACUACAAUGGUGCCCGGAGAUGGGGGCUUGAACUCAAUUUGGAUUACCAGGUACGGCUGCGUAGCCUUGUGACACAGAUAGUGGCAGUCUUUGGAGAGAGUGCUGACGGAAAGACCUCUGGGACCCAGGUUAUUGUUGCAUCUCAUCUGAGGCCGGUUACCGGGAGGCUGAGCCUCACAAUCUGAUGCUCCGAGGGACAGGUCUGUAUCAAGCUGUCAGCCCAGUGACGGCCAUGUGCUACUGGGGAAGAGUCAGGAGAGACACUGGGCAGGAAGCUCCAGAGAAUUGAGGUGCUGGCUAAGCCAUCCACCCUCCGGCAGCCUCAGCUAGUCCCUCUGUAAACCCAGGUCAUUCACAUCUGGGUCGCAGGUCUUGCCAGCCUUGAGGUACAGACGCCAGGGAGGUGACACCUUUUGGAGGCUGCUAGCCUGUCUCGGAGUCACUGCAGGACCUCAGCGCUUCCCUCUGCUCUGGCUCUCACGGAGCUCCUUUCUCUGGCUCUCACGGAGCUCCUUUCCUGAGCAUUUCCCAGUGGUGAUUUACACGUCUGCCGACACAUGUCCACGUGUGUUUUUCCACUCCUGCCUUGAUGCCUCGCUUUGUCGCCUAUGUGAAGCAGACCUGCUGCUUCCUAGAGUUCCACAGAGUCAAUCAUAUGAAAGUUAGGCAAGCCCCUUCUACCUCCCCCGUGACUCCAACCUGGGUGCCGGGGACAGAAUCCUGUCAUGUUCUGCAUUUCCUUAGGUGGCCCCAGAUACCGUGCAAAUCUCUCCCAUUUUCAGUCAAACAGAAUAGGUCCUAGCACCUCACCCAAAGAUGCCAGGAUGCUGCUGGUCCCACCUCAGCCCAAAGCCUGCUCUGCUUCUCUGCUAUGCAGUGUGGCCAUGCAUCACAGGGCUUACGUGAGUGACACUAAGUGACAUUUGAUAACGAGGGAGCCCACAACUCUUGAGUGCUUACUAUUUGCUAAGUGUGUGCCAAGCUUGUCUUGUGCCUUGUCUCUGGGACUCUGAAGAGCAACCUGUUUCAGAAAGAGCCUCAGGGAAGAGCGGGGGUGUAGAGCAGGAAUGUGCCAAGAGCAGACUGAAGUGCAGACAGCCUGAUUCCAGCAGCAUUCUUAAGCUUCAUGCUGUGCAUGCAGCGGCUCCCCAGAGACUGGGGCAUGCGUAGCUCUGCAGUGCUGUCAGUCCUAGCUGACAUCUGAUGCUGUCGCCUCAAGCUGCUCCCAGCUGCCUUGGAGAUGGUCACAGGAGUGGGGAGAGAGGUGGAAGAGAAGGACAGAAGCACAGAAAGGGCGGCCCAGGUGCAUGGUCCCAACAUGUGAUGCUUCCACUUCUGACUUAGCUCAAUUUUACAAUGGUGGGAGAGUGAUACCCACGCAGUAGAAUUUGUACUUCGAAGACUAAAUUUGAUCUCCUUCUGGGUUAGGAACAUGAGAUCUUGAUCUUUCAAGCUGUAGCUCCACUCCACGCCAUCACGAGGGGAAGCAGCUGGGACUCUACUAUGUGCUGUGUCCUGAGCUAGAAUCUCGGCAGCUUUGGUGCGGCUGAUGCAUUUACAGCCCACAAUAUUUUUGACUUGCAAUGAGUUUAUCAGCAUGUUACCCCAUCACAAGUGGAGGAGUGUUCCUUCUGCCAGUUCUCAGGAGAAGCUAUGGGUCAGCUGGAGUUUCAGAUGGGGACUUUUAGGGCAGAGGGGGUUUCAUGAGAAGAGGUGGAGAAAACAGAAUUUGAGGCAGGGGACUCAGUGGUCAUCACCUCUGAAAGCCAGCAUUUCUCAGAUGUUGGAAUUUUCUCAUGUCAGAAUUAUUUAGUAUGACAGUUGAAGAUUGUUUGGGAGUGUUAGUUUAAAAAUAGCUUGCUUAUACCUAGCAUUCAGGAGGCUGAAGUAGGAGGGUCUUCAGGAAUUUGAGGAUAGCCUCGAUAACAGUGAGUUCAAGGCCAUGCUGAACUACAUAGUGAGACUCCGUCUAAAAAACAAAACAAACAACAAACAAACAAACAAAACAACUACAACCACCACCACAAAACAAAACCUAACAAAUUAUAACGAUCAAAUGGAGAUGGUAAUUCCUGCCCGGUGGGGACAUUGUCAGGAUCAGGGGUCCACAAUGGUGGUUAUGGAGAGGCCAGUUCGUUCCUCAGUGUCCUGUUAAGAUGUCUCUACUUUCUACCUUAUUUCUGGUUCUGCCUUAUUUCUUAAACUCUCAGUGAAAUCUUAGACUGCUGCCUUGCUGGCCUGUUCUGAGACCUUGAUGACUCCCUAUCGAAUAUCAAACUUUCUUGGCCAACAUCGAAGAGCGAGCAGCCCAAACUACCUGGCCACCUCCGUUUCCUAUUCAUCUCUGCGCUAUCACUACGGGGCAAAGGGAAUCUAACUGCUGCCCUCUCAAUACUCCCGUUUUUUUCUAUUGCCUCUGUGUCUCACGUUCCCUCCUACGUGGAGCGUGGUUUUAGAGAUGAUCAAAUGUGAUAAUCCAUGGGGGUGCUCAGACAGCAGCUGGCACGUGCCGAAUGCUCCCCAUGAGUUAAAGGUGAGUUUCAGUGGCUCCACAACUUUAUCUUAAAGAAGAUGUUGUUAUGGCUGAUAUCCAGACUGGCCCCCAAAGGCCUCCGUCACUCCUAGAUGGGGCUUUGGAAGCAAACUGGACUGUGAGGAUGCUAUAACUGCCUUGCUGAGCAGGGAUCAGGUUGGAAGAGACACCCACGAGGGAUGUGACCUGGGUGGGUCCCUCUCCCUCUCCAGCCUCCUUUGUCUCUUUCUGUUUGCUGGCCGAGAUGACAUGACAGCUUCCUUCCUCCUAGGCUCUUCUGCAGACCAUUUUUGUGGCUAAACCUGCUGAACUGUGAGCCUCUCCUCCUACGACUUCCUUUUUUAUCAAUCAAUAGGGACAAGUCUAUUUCCCUAAAUGGGUAGCCCGAGACUGUGCAAGACGCAUCUCCUGCAGAAAUCCCCGGGAAGUCACUUGACAACUCAGCUCAUUUCAUCGGUGUUUAUUUUGUGUCUUUCUUUCUAGCCACGUGGUCUUUAUGUGCCUCAGUGACUCUUGGGCAGCCUCCAUUUAGGACCUAGUGAGGCUUGUAGGUGAGACUGUUUCCAAGUUUGUGAAUGAACUUUCCACUAUCAUGGAGUUCAUCCUUUUGAUUCGGGGGUCCGGUGGGUUUUGAUGUUCAAGAUCGAGCUGCAGAAUCAGUAUUUGCCUCCAGGAAUGCCUUUGUGUUCUUUUAGGAGAAAUUAAUCCUGUAUGUUAUGUAAUCAGACAGAAAAAAUUGUAAAUUAAAUAUUCUGUUUAUGUGUCUCCUAUAGAUCAGUCUUUUGAUAUCUCAUUUGUAAUAUUAAUUUUUAUGUUUUGGAAAUAAUGUAUCAUUGUUAAAAUGAAAAUAAAAGUAAAAAAAUCCCAUACUACUACUCUACAAAA